ensembl:snRNA U6 U6 spliceosomal RNA
AGGAACCAAAAUACCUUUUUUUUUGUGUUGGAGUGAUACACAGUAGAUUAGCAUGGCCCUUGCACAGGGAUGGCAUGCAAAUUCGUGAAGCAUUCCAUAUUUUA